AUGAAGAGGUUGCAUUCCUUAUCAGUAUUCUGCAAUAGGUGAAUGAGCACCGGACGGCGGAUGAAAGGGAGGAAUGCCGAAACGAAUGGCGGCUUAUUCUGCCAUCCUGUUGGGCCAUGGCUGAACAAGUCAUGGACUGUCGCAAAAAAUGCGGGGCGCUUCCGGAU
rnacentral:ncRNA from 1 species